GUUUAGGGGUAAACCUGAGAAACCCGAAAGGUCGAAGGAAGAAAUUCAUUCGUGUAUCGCUAUUGACAAGGCUGUGUAUAUUUGACAAUAAAUAAAUCAGGUCAUCUUUUUGGUGAUUUUCGAUUUAAAUGUUGCAAUGUAUGUGUCUUAGGUCCGAUAGUGAACGCGUGCAUUUUUCUUCUGGUAGGACGUUGCGAUCCGUUAGAAAAUUAUAUCGAUCUAUGGUUUGUGGUUAAAGUUCAUUGAUACAUAUUUAAAUAUGUUAAUAUUAAUGAUGUCACUAAAUCUGAUUGAUUUGUCUGACGGUAGAUAAGAGGUUAAAAGUCGCUAAAAUAUUAGCGUUAGAGGCGAGACAAAUAUAUAAAUUGUGUAAAAACAUUAUUAUUAUUUAUAGUGAUAAUGUUCUCGGUAAUCGAUAUUUAUAUCAAUUCCGAGCCGUUUAUGUGUUGUUAGUCGAGCAAAUCUCUGACAGACUUUAUUAUUAUAAAUAAAACCAAUCAGCAACGCUAUAGCUUUGGGUACUUUCAGGACCCGUCUUGAAACACGGACCAAGGAGUCUAGCAUUUACGCAAGCCAUUGGGAUAUAAAACCUAUAGGCAAAAUGAAAGUGAAAAUCAAUUCGUCAUGUAUGAAUUGAAGGGAAGAUGAACGAUAUAUGUUUAAUAAAUAUUGUUUCGCAUUCCCGGGGCGUUUAUAUUUCGUUUGUUUGUUUUACAUUCAAAUGAGAUUAUGCGCACCAAGAG
rnacentral:rRNA from 1 species